GGAUUGUAGUUCAGAGGAAAAGUGCUUGCCUCACAUGCAUGAGGCACUGGGUUCGAUCCUUAGCACCG
rnacentral:tRNA from 1 species